UGAAUCUGAUGAAUCUGUAGUAUCCCUACAGAACUCUACGUAGAAAUUCCAAUCUGAAAAAUUCAAGAUGUUGCUGUUGUCAGGGAUGCAGAGAAUAUUUCGAGAGCUUUGCUAGAAAUCGAUUGUUGAAAUGUGAAAUCCUCGUUGAUCCUCGGCUCACCCAAAUUUUGACUUUCGAGGGUUGUCGUUUUUAAGGGGCCCACAUCUGGUUAACGAAAAAACAUAUUCCAAACAGAUUACUACCCUAAGAAGAUUGACCCGGAACUGAAGAAGACAUUUAGAACCGAGUCCUACAGAGCGGCAUCAGUUGUUCAAGGCCUCAAAGUCUCAGCCAAUACAUAAUGGGUUGCAUAAAAUGUCUUACGUUAAUCGGUUUAGACCAUAAAGAAGUUACGAUGCACUGAGAGCUAGGAGAUCUGUUGGUAGGUAAGUUCGCGUUUCAAACAAUCAAUCACUUCAUUAUUUUUUUCUUUGGUGUCAACAUCAUCGACAAGUGUGGUCAUUAGCCUCUGAGUCAGGGUAGGUUAUGUUAAUAGCUCCCUAAGACCCCUCGUCAUCAUGGAUAUUCACAGUCACGUCAGCUACGUCCGUUCUAGGAAUCGGAUGCGAAAUCUUGCGAAAGCUGGUUAACAGAAGAACAGGUUUUGACAGAACAGCUCCCAACAGAUGUUACAUGGAAGAAUCAAUUCACAUUCAACUGAACACGAGAUUAUCUGAACGAAGGCAGAUUUGAUCUCGUCACUUCAGAGUCGAGAGCACUGGGCCAAUUCACUGUUGAAUAUUUCCAUUGUCAAGAGAUAAUCCAUAAGAAUAUCCAGAGAUGGAUCUCAUUCUUACUUUUCAAAUGACGGCAUAUUUUCAAUGAUAGUUUGAGUGCUUCAUUUUUGUAGUUGAGGACGACUAUUAAUUUUCAAAAUAUGU